rnacentral:rRNA from 1 species
UUAAGUUAUUAAGGGCGCACGGUGGAUGCCUUGGCACUAGAAGCCGAUGAAGGACGUUACUAACGACGAUAUGCUUUGGGGAGCUGUAAGUAAGCUUUGAUCCAGAGAUUUCCGAAUGGGGAAACCCAGCAUGAGUUAUGUCAUGUUAUCGAUAUGUGAAUACAUAGCAUAUCAGAAGGCACACCCGGAGAACUGAAACAUCUUAGUACCCGGAGGAAGAGAAAGAAAAUUCGAUUCCCUUAGUAGCGGCGAGCGAAACGGGAAGAGCCCAAACCAACAAGCUUGCUUGUUGGGGUUGUAGGACACUCUAUACGGAGUUACAAAGGACGACAUUAGACGAAUCAUCUGGAAAGAUGAAUCAAAGAAGGUAAUAAUCCUGUAGUCGAAAAUGUUGUCUCUCUUGAGUGGAUCCUGAGUACGACGGAGCACGUGAAAUUCCGUCGGAAUCUGGGAGGACCAUCUCCUAAGGCUAAAUACUCUCUAGUGACCGAUAGUGAACCAGUACCGUGAGGGAAAGGUGAAAAGCACCCCGGAAGGGGAGUGAAACAGAACCUGAAACCGUGUGCUUACAAGUAGUCAGAGCCUGUUAAUGGGUGAUGGCGUGCCUUUUGUAGAAUGAACCGGCGAGUUACGAUUUGAUGCAAGGUUAAGCAGUAAAUGUGGAGCCGUAGCGAAAGCGAGUCUGAAUAGGGCGUUUAGUAUUUGGUCGUAGACCCGAAACCAGGUGAUCUACCCUUGGUCAGGUUGAAGUUCAGGUAACACUGAAUGGAGGACCGAACCGACUUACGUUGAAAAGUGAGCGGAUGAACUGAGGGUAGCGGAGAAAUUCCAAUCGAACCUGGAGAUAGCUGGUUCUCUCCGAAAUAGCUUUAGGGCUAGCCUCAAGUGAUGAUUAUUGGAGGUAGAGCACUGUUUGGACGAGGGGCCCCUCUCGGGUUACCGAAUUCAGACAAACUCCGAAUGCCAAUUAAUUUAACUUGGGAGUCAGAACAUGGGUGAUAAGGUCCGUGUUCGAAAGGGAAACAGCCCAGACCACCAGCUAAGGUCCCAAAAUAUAUGUUAAGUGGAAAAGGAUGUGGCGUUGCCCAGACAACUAGGAUGUUGGCUUAGAAGCAGCCAUCAUUUAAAGAGUGCGUAAUAGCUCACUAGUCGAGUGACACUGCGCCGAAAAUGUACCGGGGCUAAACAUAUUACCGAAGCUGUGGAUUGUCCUUUGGACAAUGGUAGGAGAGCGUUCUAAGGGCGUUGAAGCAUGAUCGUAAGGACAUGUGGAGCGCUUAGAAGUGAGAAUGCCGGUGUGAGUAGCGAAAGACGGGUGAGAAUCCCGUCCACCGAUUGACUAAGGUUUCCAGAGGAAGGCUCGUCCGCUCUGGGUUAGUCGGGUCCUAAGCUGAGGCCGACAGGCGUAGGCGAUGGAUAACAGGUUGAUAUUCCUGUACCACCUAUAAUCGUUUUAAUCGAUGGGGGGGACGCAGUAGGAUAGGCGAAGCGUGCGAUUGGAUUGCACGUCUAAGCAGUAAGGCUGAGUAUUAGGCAAAUCCGGUACUCAUUAAGGCUGAGCUGUGAUGGGGAGAAGACAUUGUGUCUUCGAGUCGUUGAUUUCACACUGCCGAGAAAAGCCUCUAGAUAGAAAAUAGGUGCCCGUACCGCAAACCGACACAGGUAGUCAAGAUGAGAAUUCUAAGGUGAGCGAGCGAACUCUCGUUAAGGAACUCGGCAAAAUGACCCCGUAACUUCGGGAGAAGGGGUGCUCUUUAGGGUUAACGCCCAGAAGAGCCGCAGUGAAUAGGCCCAAGCGACUGUUUAUCAAAAACACAGGUCUCUGCUAAACCGUAAGGUGAUGUAUAGGGGCUGACGCCUGCCCGGUGCUGGAAGGUUAAGAGGAGUGGUUAGCUUCUGCGAAGCUACGAAUCGAAGCCCCAGUAAACGGCGGCCGUAACUAUAACGGUCCUAAGGUAGCGAAAUUCCUUGUCGGGUAAGUUCCGACCCGCACGAAAGGCGUAACGAUUUGGGCACUGUCUCAACGAGAGACUCGGUGAAAUCAUAGUACCUGUGAAGAUGCAGGUUACCCGCGACAGGACGGAAAGACCCCGUGGAGCUUUACUGUAGCCUGAUAUUGAAAUUCGGCACAGCUUGUACAGGAUAGGUAGGAGCCUUUGAAACGUGAGCGCUAGCUUACGUGGAGGCGCUGGUGGGAUACUACCCUAGCUGUGUUGGCUUUCUAACCCGCACCACUUAUCGUGGUGGGAGACAGUGUCAGGCGGGCAGUUUGACUGGGGCGGUCGCCUCCUAAAAGGUAACGGAGGCGCUCAAAGGUUCCCUCAGAAUGGUUGGAAAUCAUUCAUAGAGUGUAAAGGCAUAAGGGAGCUUGACUGCGAGACCUACAAGUCGAG